rnacentral:rRNA from 1 species
UAGGGAAUCUUCGGCAAUGGACGAAAGUCUGACCGAGCAACGCCGCGUGAGUGAAGAAGGUUUUCGGAUCGUAAAACUCUGUUGUUAGAGAAGAACAAGGACGUUAGUAACUGAACGUCCCCUGACGGUAUCUAACCAGAAAGCCACGGCUAACUACGUGCCAGCAGCCGCGGUAAUACGUAGGUGGCAAGCGUUGUCCGGAUUUAUUGGGCGUAAAGCGAGCGCAGGCGGUUUCUUAAGUCUGAUGUGAAAGCCCCCGGCUCAACCGGGGAGGGUCAUUGGAAACUGGGUGACUUGAGUACAGAAGAGGAGAGUGGAAUUCCAUGUGUAGCGGUGAAAUGCGUAGAUAUAUGGAGGAACACCAGUGGCGAAGGCGGCUCUCUGGUCUGUAACUGACGCUGAGGCUCGAAAGCGUGGGGAGCAAACAGG